GUCAAAAAAAAUCUAGAAUUGUUAAAACCUAUUUUUCUAAGGAAAUUGUUUGAUGGAUGAGUUUGUUAGAUGGAAAAAAAGUUUUUUGAAGAUAAAUUUAAGUAUUGUUGUGUAUGCAUUGUUCAUCUCGGAGAACUUCUUGAGUGCCUUUUGAUGUACGUCUUUCCAACUGCUUCAGAGAAACUCAACUAUUCGAGUCCUGAUGAAGGAUCUGUAAAGAUCCGAAACGUCGACUAAGAAUAAAUGUAGUAUUCAGAA